rnacentral:rRNA from 1 species
AUUGAACGCUGGCGGCAGGCCUAACACAUGCAAGUCGAGCGAGCGGCGGACGGGUGAGUAAUGUAUGGGGAUCCGCCCGAUAGAGGGGGAUAACUACUGGAAACGGUCGCUAAUACCGCAUACUAUCGGAUGUACCCAUAUGGGUUUAGCUAGUAGGUGGGGUAAAGGCUCACCUAGGCGACGAUCUCUAGCUGGUCUGAGAGGAUGAUCAGCCACACUGGAACUGAGACACGGCCCAGACUCCUACGGGAGGCAGCAGUGGGGAAUAUUGCACAAUGGGCGCAAGCCUGAUGCAGCCAUGCCGCGUGUAUGAAGAAGGCCUUAGGGUUGUAAAGUACUUUCAGCGGGGAGGCGUUACCCGCAGAAGAAGCACCGGCUAACUCCGUGCCAGCAGCCGCGGUAAUAC